ACUGCGCCUGCGCCCUAGCGGCAGCGCGCGCCGCGGGCGGGCUUGACUCCACUCCGUCCGCCCGGCGCCGCCAUUUUGACAGAAGGCCCGCCCGGCCCCACAAUGCACCGGGGCCGCCCCCCCCUUCAAUCAUUCAUUCAUUCAAUCCUUCAUUCAGUCAUUCCUUCAAUCAUCAUUCACCCAAUUGCAUUCGACGAGGGCCUUCCUGGGUGCAGAGCCCUGGGCUAAACGCUGGGGAGAGGUCCCCAGAGCAGCCAGGCCUCAAUUAGUCCAGGGUGAAGCCGUGCGGCCUAGUGGCUAGAGCUCCUGGCCUGGGAGUGGGAAGGGCCUGGGUUCCAGUCCUGCCCUCCCCCACGUGACUGCUGGGUGACCUUGGGGUGAUUUUCCAGGGCCUUCCAGCAGCGAUUUCCAGGAGCUCCCACAGUUAUCCUGAGAAUUCCCCGCUCAAGUCACCACCGCCGUCCUGUGACCUUCAGAUGAGGUAACUGAGGCCCAGAGAAGUUAAGUGACUUGCCC